rnacentral:rRNA from 1 species
GACGAACGCUGGCGGCGUGCCUAAUACAUGCAAGUAGAACGCUGAAGAGAGGAGCUUGCUCUUCUUGGAUGAGUUGCGAACGGGUGAGUAACGCGUAGGUAACCUGCCUUGUAGCGGGGGAUAACUAUUGGAAACGAUAGCUAAUACCGCAUAACAAUGGAUGACACAUGUCAUUUAUUUGAAAGGGGCAAUUGCUCCACUACAAGAUGGACCUGCGUUGUAUUAGCUAGUAGGUGAGGUAAUGGCUCACCUAGGCGACGAUACAUAGCCGACCUGAGAGGGUGGUCGACCACACUGGGACUGGGACACGGCCCAGACUCCUGCGGGAGGCAGCAGUAGGGAAUCUUCGGCAAUGGGGGCAACCCUGACCGAGCAACGCCGCGUGAGUGAAGAAGGUUUUCGGAUCGUAAAGCUCUGUUGUAAGUCAAGAACGGGUGUGAGAGUGGAAAGUUCACACUGUGACGGUAGCUAACCAGAAAGGGACGGCUAACUACAUG